rnacentral:rRNA from 1 species
GACGAACGCUGGCGGCGUGCUUAACACAUGCAAGUCGAGCGAAGUAUUCAAGACAGAUUUCUUCGGAUUGAAGUCUUGAAUAUCUUAGCGGCGAACGGGUGAGUAACGCGUGAGAAACCUGCCUUUCACAAAGGGAUAGCCUCGGGAAACCGGGAUUAAAACCGCAUGAUGCCUUUUUAUCGCAUGGUAGAGAAGUCAAAUCGAAUAAGAGGUAUGGGAUGAGUUCGCGU